AACGAACGCUGGCGGCAUGCCUAACACAUGCAAGUCGAACGAGACCUUCGGGUCUAGUGGCGCACGGGUGCGUAACGCGUGGGAACCUGCCCUUAGGUUCGGAAUAACUCCCCGAAAGGGGUGCUAAUACCGAAUAAUGUCUUCGGACGAAAGAUUUAUCGCCUUUGGAUGGGCCCGCGUUGGAUUAGCUAGUUGGUAGGGUAAAAGCCUACCAAGGCGACGAUUCAUAGCUGGUCUGAGAGGAUGAUCAGCCACACUGGGACUGAGACACGGCCCAGACUCCUACGGGAGGCAGCAGUGGGGAAUAUUGGACAAUGGGCGAAAGCCUGAUCCAGCAAUGCCGCGUGAGUGAUGAAGGCCUUAGGGUUGUAAAGCUCUUUUACCCGGGAUGAUAAUGACAGUACCGGGAGAAUAAGCUCCGGCUAACUCCGUG
rnacentral:rRNA from 1 species